GCGCCUGUAGCUCAGUUGGAUAGAGCGUUUGCCUCCGGAGCAAAAGGCCGGUGGUUCGACCCCACCCAGGCGCA
rnacentral:tRNA from 1 species